GACGAACGCUGGCGGCGUGCUUAACACAUGCAAGUCGAACGGAAAGGCCCUGCUUUUGUGUGGUGCUCGAGUGGCGAACGGGUGAGUAACACGUGAGUAACCUGCCCUUGACUUUGGGAUAACUUCAGGAAACUGGGGCUAAUACCGGAUAGGAGCUCCUGCUGCAUGGUGGGGGUUGGAAAGUUUCGGCGGUUGGUGAUGGACUCGCGGCUUAUCAGCUUGUGGGUGGGGUAGUGGCUUACCAAGUCUUUGACGGGUAGCCGGCCUGAGAGGGUGACCGGCCACAUUGGGACUGAGGUACGGCCCAGACGCCUACGGGAGGCAGCAGUGGGGAAUAUUGCACAAUGGGCGGAAGCCUGAUGAAGCAGCGCCGCGUGCGGGAUAGUGCCCUUCGGGUUGUAAACCGCUUUCGCCUGUGACGAAGCGUGAGUGACGGUAAUGGGUAAAGAAGCCACGGCUAACUACGUG
rnacentral:rRNA from 1 species